UUCUAAGGACUUCAUCACAAUACAAGAGUUCAAGAAAGAUGUUACUUUGUGAUGAAAAAAUAUCAGAAUAUUUUUUAUUCAAUAAUCAAUAAUUUAUAUACAAGGAUGAACUCAAUCAUUAGAUAAUUGAUUUUAGGACAUACUUUUCAACAGAUAUCUUGUGAAUUCUCAUCUCUAGAUAACUUUAAAAAAAUCUUUUGGUCAGAAGCAGAAU
rnacentral:lncRNA from 1 species